GACGUAGGGCGCGAGCGUUGUCCGGAUUUAUUGGGCGUAAAGAGCUCGUAGGCGGCUUGUUGCGUCGUCCGUGAAAACCUGUGGCUCAACUACAGGCUUGCGGUCGAUACGGGCGGGCUGGAGUUCGGUAGGGGAGACUGGAAUUCCUGGUGUAGCGGUGAAAUGCGCAGAUAUCAGGAGGAACACCGGUGGCGAAGGCGGGUCUCUGGGCCGAUACUGACGCUGAGGCACGAAAGCGUGGGGAGCAAACAGG
rnacentral:rRNA from 1 species